AAUGUAGCAAUACAUGGCGUACUGCUCAGUAACACGUGGACAACCUACCCUCAGGACAGGUAUAGACCCGGGAAACUGGGUAUAAUCCCUGAUAGUCCUCGAACGCUGGAAUGCAUCGAGGACGAAAGCUCCGGCGCCUGAGGAUGGGUCUGCGGCCUAUCAGGUAGUAGUGGGUGUAACGUACCUACUAGCCUACGACGGGUACGGGUUGUGAGAGCAAGAGCCCGGAGAUGGAUUCUGAGACACGAAUCCAGGCCCUACGGGGUGCAGCAGGCGCGGAAACUUUACAAUGCCGGCAACGGCGAUAAGGGGACCUCGAGUGCCAGGUUACAAAUCUGGCUGUCGUGAUGCCUAAAAAGCACUACAUAGCAAGGGCCGGGCAAGACCGGUGCCAGCCGCACGCGGUAACACCGGCGGCUCGAAGUUGUUAACCGUUAUUAUUGGUGUCUAAAGGGUCUGUAGCCGUGCCGGAUAAGGUCUCUUUGUGGAAAUCCAGCAGCUCAACUGUUGGGCUUGUCAGGAGAUACUGUUCGGCUCGAGGCCGGGAGAGGUGAGUAGGUACUUCAGGGGUAUGGGGUGAAAUCUUGUAAUCCUUGAAGGACCACCAGUGUCGUUAGGCGUCUCACCAGAACGGACCUGACUGGCAAGGGUACAGAAAGUCUAGGGGCACGAACCGGAUUAGAUACCCGGGUAGUCCUAGCCGUAAACGAUACUCGCUAGUUGUCGGCCACGGUGCGACCGUUGCCGGUGCCGUAGGGAAGCCGUGAAGCGAGCCGCCCUGGGAAGUACGGCCUGCAAGGCUGAACUUC
rnacentral:rRNA from 1 species